UAUGGUUAGGCUAAUUGUGCAGAUUUGAGUGAAUCAAAUAGCAAAACGCAUGUAUAAGCAUAUGAAUUAGCCCCCUUUGUUUUGUUGUGGUUCUUCUUCUUUUUUUUUCUUUUUCCGGUUCGAGGGUCAGGGAGGUCGGGGCCAUCCAACGCGCACCCCGACUAUUCCCCUUCCCGGUCUGUCAAAUUCAGACCAUCCACGUCGGGACUAGGGGAUUCACAAAAAAUUUCUCUCUUGGUGUAUGCCCUUUAGGCCUUAGAACCUGUACGGGUUUGGUUUCUGAGCUAAUGACUUAAUUUACCCCCCAAAAGGUAAGUAUCAAGAAAUGACAUACCUAUUAGUAAGACAAUAUUUUCGGUCAAUAUAGGACAAGUUCAAAGCAUAGUGAAACACAAAAUUGGCACAAGUUGUUUUCCCACUUUUGCCUCUGGGGAGUUUCUGUUGAAAAUGAAGUCUGGAUGCUUGAAAAUGACUUACACCACCAUCGUCCCCGCAACCGAACGCUCGUGCGCAAUGGCUGUGGCGGGGAGCCCCAGUUGACGGUGCUGCAACGCAACCUAUGGUUGCAGUUGGUAGAGUUGUUUCCAGGAUUUUACAAUAACGGACUUACAGUAAUAAAAAAUGAACUCCAUUUACGAGCAAAACACAUGGAAAAAUAGUGGACGUGGUUUCAUUCUCUUGGGAGGAGGUUAAUAUGGGAAUGGAACUCUUUCUAACCAGGUUGUGAUAGGUGUCCCAAAAAUUUGAAGACAAUAUUUUGCAAGAAAGAGAACCACAUUUGAUGUCAACUACAAUGACAAGUUGGCAAUUAGAAAAAAAGACACUGUACUCCAUGUACUACAAAAACAAUGUACUGCAUUUGUUGUACUUGGGAGACUUGUGGAGGGCAAUAAAAAGGGGAUGAUCAGGAUUCCAAAAUCAAUUUCACAAAGGUGCAGCCACAAACCAUGUAAACUGUGGGUAAUAUAGGAAUAGACGAUAUGCUCUGCUAGCGACAAUUCGGGUGCUCAAGAAAUCCGGUAAACUGUUCCAAUCCAGGCUAAACCGUCUCAUUUGGUCAGAUUCUGUAGCAAGGCAACGGUUCAGAUAGGAGCACAUAAGCCAAGAGAUUGGUUGUAAGGUAAGACCGAGCACAUAUUUCGUAUUUAAUCUCUUCUUGUGCAUAUUGUGAAGUUGAAUAGAAAAUUGGGAUGCAUGUGGAUUGAUUUCCAACAACAGCAAGAAUGCUUAAUUACUUAUUGGUUAGUCUUAAAUCUUCUCUAAUUGUUCAGUGUUCUCCAGAAUUGCUAACCUUUUAUUUCCCCCCACAUAUCCGUCUGCCAAUCCAACGAUUCUGACCACAAGAGUAGACAAACACAAUAAUAAACAACAUGGCUGGGAAACUUUUAGCCACAGGAUUGUUAGGCUGCACCGUUGCAGCAAGCAAAGCCGGGAAAAUUGGUGUUCCCAACAGAUAUUCUGCAAUCUUUUCUGAUAACCCAGAGUGUUCGGGUCUUUUUCUCAUAAACCAAGCAGAGGAAUAGUGAGCACUCAGUUGGGUAUGAAGAAUUUGGAAUGGAGGGUAAAGAACAUCCAUGAUAAAUACUGCGGGACUCAUGAUUUUUUUGUGUUGAUAACAACAUUUUUUCGAUAAAACCACGCUUGGGAUUGCCCAGGGGAAAGGGAAGGGCUUUGCCUAGAUUUGGGCAGAGUUCGACUCCACUCCUCUCUAGGGCGGUACCAUGAUUUACCUGGCGGGUGGGGCUGUGGGUUUUUUUGGGCCGCCUAGAGAUUUAUUCCCCAUGGAUGGAUCCAAUUAGUGGUUCCUUCGUCACACAAAAAAAAGAAGAAAAAAUUCGAUAAAAUGGUUGCGGAUGUCCGUUCGACUCGAAUUUUCCCCUGGCUCACAUGUCAGUCGACAAGCCGUACAAUGUGAACGACUCAGAUCAUCGAGAAGGGAUCCGGGUGAGGGCAAACCUCACGCAGCGGAGUCCGAAAACAAAUAUAUUCACAUCAUACAGAUUAGUAUAUGCAGAUGAUUUAGGAGGGAGAGGGAGAACGGAAGAAAUACCGAUGACAUCCCCAAGUUGAAAGGACUUGGUUGCAGACCAUUGCUUGUAAUCAAUGUUGCCAAUGGUGGUCCAACCAGCCGAGUCUCCCACCUUGUGAACAACAGCCAUGGACCCUUGCAAUUGCAAGGCUGCAGCACAAAUGGCAAACAACAACAGAGCCC